GUAGGGAGGUUUUGGGUGGUGAGUAGGGAGGUUUUGGGUGGUGAGUAGGGAGGUUUUGGGUGGUGAGUAGGGAGGUUUUGGGUGGUGAGUAGGGAGGUUUUGGGUGGUGAGUAGGGAGGUUUUGGCUGGUGAGUAGGGAGGUUUUGGGUGGUGAGUAGGGAGGUUUUGGGUGGUGAGUAGGGAGGUUUUGGGUGGUGAGUAGGGAGGUUUUGGGUGGUGAGUAGGGAGGUUUUGGGUGGUGAGUAGGGAGGUUUUGGCUGGUGAGUAGGGAGGUUUUGGGUGGUGAGUAGGGAGGUUUUGGGUGGUGAGUAGGGAGGUUUUGGGUGGUGAGUAGGGAGGUUUUGGGUGGUGAGUAGGGAGGUUUUGGGUGGUGAGUAGGGAGGUUUUGGGUGGUGAGUAGGGAGGUUUUGGGUGGUGAGUAGGGAGGUUUUGGCUGGUGAGUAGGGAGGUUUUGGGUGGUGAGUAGGGAGGUUUUGGGUGGUGAGUAGGGAGGUUUGCCCAGACAAGGAACUUUCCACCGUUUCUUUUCUCAUUCUUUGUUUUGUCUGUGUUGUUUUCUCAGCAUUGCAAUGCAUCACUUGACAUUAUCCAAGCAGGUUUGAGCUGCAGUGCAUCAGCUGAAAGCAAUUUGGUGCCGAACACAGCUGCCAGGCGGAUAAGACUUUCCUUCUUUCGUUUACUUUGAAAUGCUGCAGGUUUUUUUUACAUCCAAAAUACACAAGGCGGCCAAAUUGCAGACAUGUGUGUGUAAGGGGCAGAGAAACACUGCAUUCUUCCAUGCCCCAGAAUGCAAAACUCCCAACUGUUUAUCUAAAGAACACAGAACACUUUAGCACUAUUAAGAAACAUGUCAUACAGUAAACUAAAGGUUUCC